ensembl:snRNA U6 U6 spliceosomal RNA
GUGCUCCCUUCAGCAGCACAUAUACUAAAAUUGGAACGAUACAGAGAACACUAGCAUGGCCCCGGCUCAAGGAUGACACGCACCUUCGUGAAGCGUUCCAUAAAUAA